rnacentral:lncRNA from 1 species
ACAUUAAGUAUUCUCUUUAACAAAAGGAAUGGAAUGCAAAUAAAGCUUCCACGAGUACAGAAACCUGCAAAGCUCAGGGCUGAGAGGGGACUAAGAAUGUCACAGGGUAUAAUCCACGCGUGCGGCUCCUCGUCCUGUCCUCCAACGGGAUAGUCAAUCUCAAACCAUAGGCCUCCAGGGACAGGGGACCCGCACCUCACCCAGCAACGUACAUUUGUCCUGGAGACAUCUCUAGCCACUAGAAGUCUCUCGUCACAUCAGGCCCUCCCCUCCAGUCUCUCCUCCACCUUGUAGCCAGGGCAGCCCUCCAGAGGCAUAUAUUCCUUGCUGCCAUUUCCAAGACCAAGGAUUUAGUGGCUUCAGACUGUGUGACUGUGUGAGGCUCUCCAGCAGCCCUUGACAGCCCAGGCCAGUGCAGAGAAGGCUGACAAUGGAUGAAUCGUCCUGGAAAUCUCUCACCCAGAAGACGAAACCAAGGCAGCAUGUGAAUUUGGUGAUUGACCCAAGGCAAAUCGAGGAAACGCCUAAAGAAGGGUUGCCAGAUAAGACACUUGACACCCAAUGAAACGUGACUUUCAAAUAAACAAUGAAUUAUCUUUUAGUAGAAGU